rnacentral:rRNA from 1 species
UACAGAGGGUGCAAGCGUUGUUCGGAAUUAUUGGGCGUAAAGGGUGCGUAGGCGGUGCGGUAAGUCUGUAGUGAAAUCUCUGGGCUCAACUCAGAGUCUGCUAUAGAAACUGCCGUGCUUGAGUGUGGGAGAGGUGAGUGGAAUUCCCGGUGUAGCGGUGAAAUGCGUAGAUAUCUGGAGGAACACCGGUGGCGAAGGCGGCAAUCCUGGACCAAUUCUGACGCUGAGGAGCGAAAGCCAGGGAGCAACGGG